GAUAGAAUUAACAAAUAGAGAGAGGAACAAGGGAGGUGAAAAAGAUUCUGACUUGACAUGCAUUUUGUGACGAGAUAGAGAUUUUUAUCUAGUGUUUAUGUGGAAGCUUGGAUGCAAAAGUUUAGUCAAUGGAGGCGUAUUUAAUUAAUAAUUUAGUGGUUACCAGGCAUUGUCACAUGGUGUCCCGUACCCUUCUCUAUUACAUAUGUAGGGAAGACUCGUAUAUUACGUCUUGAGAUCCAAACUAAUAUGUUCAGGAAAAGAGUAUUGGAACAACGUAUAACGCGUCUUGAGAUCCAAACUAAUAUGUUCAGGAAAAGAGUAUUGGAACAACGUAUAACAGUGCCCUAAUAACAUUUAAUAAUCUUUUCUUAUUUGAAGAUAUAAUACUAACAUUUCUAGCACAUACUUCCUCCGUCCUAAUUUAAUUAUUUUUUUAGAAGUUCGGUCAUUUUUUAAUUAAUUAUACCUUAUAAUUUAUAAUGUUUUAAGUGAUUUCAAAAACAUUGUAUUAUAGACCAAAUUGAAGUCUAUCAAACAAAAUCCAUAUGAGAUAUAAAAUUCAUUAUCAAUUUAAAAAUAUAACUAUUUUUUUGAACAAGAUCCAUAUUUGAUAUAAAAUUCAUUACCAAUUUAAAGAUAUAACUAAUUUUUUUGUCAAAUUAAAAUAGAACUGAGACAAGUAAAUUAGGACGAAAUGAGUAAUUUACAAGUAUGAAAAUCCAAUUUGUCCUGUGCCCCCCAUAAAUCCGCCAUUGGCGGCCGGAUAAACAAUCCGGGUGCAAAAGGAGGAAUCAAACACCAGAUAAAAACGGGAAUGGGCAUGGCAACACCCUCAAAGCGGUGCGGAGAGGUCAAUCCGACCACUCAUCUCAGCAACGGACGCUUUAGAUUUGAAUGUGCAGAUUCGAUCCGAGUCAUCCAUGCUAAUAUGAACGGUUGGAUUAGUAGCUCUGCACCCACUCGACAACGUAAAAAUGAGUUGGGAUUAGUUUAUACCCAACGCCCUUAUUCACCUGCCAAACGGGACGUUAGGGUGCCUAUACAUAUAUAUGGACUAUGAUCAUGAGAAAGAGGGAGGGAGAGGAGGAGAAUAAUCUGAUGAGUCUUUUGAUCUUCUUUCCUUCCUUUUGUAUGCCUCUAUAGAAUGAUCCAUCCCAUCCCGUCUGAUUAUUAGUACUCAUUAUCUCUCUUGUCUUGAAACCAAACCACCCUCCCCCUUUAUUACUCUCUCUCUCAUCAUUUACUGUUGUAGCUAACCUCAUCCCACCAUAAAUAGAACCCACCAGCCUCUCUCCCAUCUCUCAUCCCUUCUCUCUCUCUCUCUUCCUUGAUCUCACUUUAUAUAUACAAGGAAGAAGAACUGAUGAUGUUGUUGGGGCUUUAGCUUCAUUUCAUGGUUGGUUUAACAAAGGGUUUCUUAUAUAGAGUUCAUUGGCAUUCUGUCCACCUCCCUCCUCUCUCUCUCUCUCUGUCUCCUCUUUUUCUCUCCUGACGAAUAUGUGGAGGAGGUGGAGGUGGGCAUACUGCCAACUGAGCUUUGUAGGUACCGCUUUGUUAAAACCCUCUCAUGAUUAUCUCCAACCCACACUUUUCAUAUUUCUCUCCUCUCUUGUAAAGGACAAUUAUGCUAUGUUAUCAGGGUCUGUUGUGCGUUGAUGUAUCAAAUCCAUAUUUGGAGCCUAUGGGAAGUUGAUUUCAGGAACGCAAAGUCUCUCUCACAGGUUGUAUUAUUACAUCUAAAGAUGAGGCAAAGCCCAAGAUCUGAUGGACUUUCUCCAUGGGAAAAGGCUGGGAAAUCACUGGAGUUGUUG